rnacentral:rRNA from 1 species
UACGUAGGGUGCGAGCGUUAAUCGGAAUUACUGGACGUAAAGCGUGCGCAGGCGGUUCGUUGUGUCGGCGGUGAAAGCCCCGGGCUUAACCUGGGAAUGGCCGUCGAAACUGGCGAACUGGAGUGUGGCAGAGGGGGUGGAAUUCCGCGUGUAGCAGUGAAAUGCGUAGAGAUGCGGAGGAACACCGAUGGCGAAGGCAGCCCCUGGGCUGACACUGACGCCUCAGGCACGAAAGCGUGGGGAGCAAAACGGGA